rnacentral:lncRNA from 1 species
AUCUGGAGACUCAGAGAGGAAAGUCACUUUCCCAAGGGCACAGCCCAGAGGCUCCCAGGGCAUGCCUCUGCCGUCGCCCCACGCCUGCAUCUUCAGCUCCCUUCUCUGCAGAGCAGCACAUCCAUGACCCUGUGAACCUUUCCAUUUGGGCUUUCCAUAGACGCCCAAACUCAAUAUGUCAAAACUCAGCUAUCAGCUCUUACCCCCAAGCCUCUCCCGCAUGACAUUAGCAGCUACUCCACCAAGCGCAGGACUUGGGGACAAGUGGAUGUGGCUUUGGGACCUGGUUUCUCCAAUCACCAGCUCUGAGACUUCAGGCAGGUCACGUAACUGGCCUAGAUAUCACUUUUCCCAUCUCCACAGAGCGGUCCGGGGUUUACACGUGAUCAGGAACACGUGUUCUCCCAAAACGCGCCCUCCUGUUGACCAUCUCCAUCCAUCUCCUGAUUCCCUCCUCGUCCCUUCCUGUUUGGGAAGCUGUGGAGGGGGACGUGACCUUGCUGAGCAGCCAGCCUUUGCUCAGGGUGGAUAG